rnacentral:rRNA from 1 species
UGGAUUGAGACAACGUACAAACCUUAUCGAUAAACAAUUGGAGGGCAAGUCUGGUGCCAGCAGCCGCGGUAAUUCCAGCUCCAAUAGCGUAUAUUAACGUUGUUGCAGUUAAAAAGCUCGUAGUUGAAAUGAAGGGUAGUUGUGUAAUGAAUACAUUCGUGUAUUUUGUUAUUCUACUACCCUCCUUCUAAAUUCGAUAUAUGAGUAUUAAUUUACUUGUAUAUGGUUUUAGACGUUUACUGUGAGAAAAUUAGAGUGUUCAAAGCAGGCAUUUGCUUGAAUAUAUUAGCAUGGAAUAAUCAUGUAUGAUUUUCAUGAUGUAUUUGAUUGGUUUGGUUCAUGAGAAUAAGAUUAAAAGGGACAGUUGGGGGUAUUCAUAUUCAAUAGUCAGAGGUGAAAUUCUCGGAUUUAUGGAAGAUGAACAAGUGCGAAAGCAUUUACCAAGGAUGUUUUCAUUAAUCAAGAACGAAAGUUAGGGGAUCGAAGAGGAUUAGAUACC